AACGUAGGGGCCAAGCGUUAUCCGGAUUUACUGGGCGUAAAGAGCAUGUAGGCGGUUGUCUAAGUCGGACGUGAAAGCUCCUGGCUCAACUGGGAGAUGCCGUUCGAAACUAGAUAACUCGAGGAUGGUAGAGGAGAGUGGAAUUCCCGGUGUAGUGGUGAAAUGCGUAGAUAUCGGGAGGAACACCAGUGGCGAAGGCGGCUCUCUGGGCCACUCCUGACGCUGAGAUGCGAAAGCUAGGGGAGAGAACGGG
rnacentral:rRNA from 1 species